rnacentral:misc_RNA from 1 species
UACGGGAGGCAGCAGUGGGGAAUUUUGGACAAUGGGGGAAACCCUGAUCCAGCCAUCCCGCGUGUGCGAUGAAGGCCUUCGGGUUGUAAAGCACUUUUUGGCAGAGAAAAGCAGCACGGGAUAGCCUGCAAUGACAGUACCUGCAGAAUAAGCACCGGCUAACUACGUGCCAGCAGCCGCGGUAAUACGUAAGUGCAAGCGUUAAUCGGAAUUACUGGGCGUAAAGCGUGCGCGGGCGGUUCGGAAAGAAAGAUGUGAAAUCCCAGAGCUUAACUUUGGAACUGCAUUUUUAACUUACCGAGCUAGAGUGUGUCAGAGGGAGGUGGAAUUCCGCGUGUAGCAGUGAAAUGCGUAGAUAUGCGGAGGAACACCGAUGGCGAAGGCAACCUCCUGGGAUAACACUGACGCUCAUGCACGAAAGCGUGGGGAGCAAACAGGAUUAGAUACCGCGUAGU